rnacentral:rRNA from 1 species
CCUACGGGAGGCAGCAGUGAGGAAUAUUCGUCAAUGGCCGGAAGGCUGAACCAGCCAAGCCGCGUGAGGGAAUAAGGCCCUCUGGGCCGUAAACCCCUUUUGUCAGGGAGCAAAGGCGUGCGAGUGUGGACGUGAGGCGAGUACCUGAAGAAAAAGCAUAGGCAAACUUCGUGCCAGCAGCCGCGGUAAUACGGAGGAUGCGAGCGUUACCCGGAUUUAUUGGGUUUAAAGGGAGCGUAGGCGGAGUGUCAAGUCAGCGGUAAAAUUUCGGGGCUCAACCCCGUCGUGCCGUUGAAACUGACGCCCUUGAGUGAGUGAGGAGUAAGCGGAAUGCGUGGUGUAGCGGUGAAAUGCAUAGAUAUAUGGCAGAACGCCGAUGGCGAAGGCAGCUUACCGGCGCUCAACUGACGCUGAGGCACGAAAGUGCGGGUAUCGAACAGGAUUAGAUACCCUGGUAGUC